AGAAAAAUAUGUAAAUAAAAACAUUGGCACUUUUAAAUAGGUCAUCCUGUCCCGAAGAGGUAGUGUUUCCCCCAAUACCCACAGCCCCUCACACAGGCGUGUGCGCACACACUCACAGCUCACGGAUCCUGUUUUGGUGAACCGGACUGACUUCUUCUUGCCUGCCACUCCAGGUGAUGAUGACCAAACGGACCAAAGACAUGGGCAAGUUCAGUUCUGUCACUGUGUCUACCAUUGAUGAAGAGGAAGAGGAGAUUGAGGCUAGGGAAGUUGCUGACUCAUAUGCACAGAAUGCCAAAGUGAUUGAAAAACAGCUGGAGCGCAAAGGCAUGAGUAAGAGGCGACUGCAAGAGCUGGCUGAAUUGGAAGCCAAGAAAGCGAAAAUGAAGGGGACCUUGAUUGACAACCAGUUCAAAUAAACAGGCCUUUUUCUGAACCCUAGACUAGAGGCAAGCAUUUAGAUCAGGAAGCAAAGUAAUUUCUUGAUUACAUAGACGGACUCCUAUUUAUGCCGUAGCAGAAGGCUUUAUGUUGUUUCCCAUUGAUUCUCCUACAUUCAGUGAGGUCUUUAACUGA
rnacentral:sRNA from 1 species